AGAGUUUGAUCAUGGCUCAGGACGAACGCUGGCGGCGUGCUUAACACAUGCAAGUCACGGGGGGUAGCAAUACCAACCGGCGAACGGGUGCGUAACACGUGAGCAACCUACCGAUUUGUGGGGGAUAGCUGUCCUAACGGGCAGGUAAUACCGCAUACGCUCUUUUGGUCUCAUGACUGAUUGAGGAAACCUCCGGGGCAAAUCGAGGGGCUCGCGGCCUAUCAGCUAGUUGGCGAGGUCACGGCUCACCAAGGCGACGACGGGUAGCUGGUCUGAGAGGAUGGCCAGCCACAUUGGGACUGAGAAACGGCCCAGACUCCUACGGGAGGCAGCAGUGGGGAAUCUUGCGCAAUGGACGAAAGUCUGACGCAGCGACGCCGCGUGGGGGAUGAAGGCUUUCGGGUUGUAAACCCCUGUUGCCCGGGACGAACUUCUCCUUUCGAGGAGAUUGACGGUACCGGGUGAGGAAGCACCGGCUAACUCUGUGCCAGCAGCCGCGGUAAUACAGAGGGUGCGAGCGUUGUCCGGAAUCACUGGGCGUAAAGGGCCCGUAGGUGGCGCGACAAGUCGGUGGUGAAAGCUCGACGCUUAACGUCGAGUCGGCCACUGAUACUGUCGGGCUGGAGCACUGUAGAGGCAGGUGGAAUUCCGGGUGUAGCGGUGGAAUGCAGAGAUCCGGAAGAACACCGGUGGCGAAGGCGGCCUGCUGGGCAGUUGCUGACACUGAGGCGCGACAGCGUGGGGAGCAAACAGGAUUAGAUACCCUAGUAGUCC
rnacentral:rRNA from 1 species